rnacentral:rRNA from 1 species
GACGAACGCUGGCGGCGCGCUUAACACAUGCAAGUCGAACGGAAAGGCCUGCUUUCCCUUGUGGAUUGCGGGUACUCGAGUGGCGAACGGGUGAGUAACACGUGAGUGAUCUGCCCCCAACUUGGGUAUAAGCCUGGGAAACUGGGUCUAAUUCCCGAUAGGACUGCAGGGUGGUGCCUGUGGUGGAAAACGAUUUUCUAGUGGUUGGGGAUGAGCUCGCGGCCUAUCAGCUUGUUGGUGGGGUAAUGGCCUACCAAGGCGGCGACGGGUAGCCGGCCUGGGGGGGUGGACGGCCAAAUUGGGACUGGGAUCGGGCCCAGACCCCUACGGGGGGCGGAGGGGGGGAAUAUUGCACAAUGGGGGGAAGCCUGAUGCGGCGACGCCGCGGGGGGGAUGACGGCCUUGGGGUUUUAAACUCCUUUGGGCCGGGGGGAAGCCACCUGGUUGGAAGGGUGGUGACGGUAGUGGUAGAAGAAGCACCGGCUAACUACGU